AACCUAUUAGCUCAAGUGGUAGAACACUAUGCAAAUUAUGCAUAGGGGAUGUGGGUUCGAUUCCUACAUAGGUUG
rfam:Spinacia oleracea cultivar SynViroflay scaffold94272.con0001.1, whole genome shotgun sequence.